CAACCUAACAAUGGCGGGAAUUCACACCUUUAAGCUCUUUUUAUCUCCUUCAAUUCGUUCAUCAUCCACCUCAUUUUCAACUAACCAGUCUUUCAAAGGCUUGAGACAAUCUGUUGUUCUUCCUUACAGAGCCAGAUUUUCAAGUAAAUUCUCUUCUUUUCGGUUGUUUAUGUUCCAAUUUCAAUUUAUGCUUAGGAAUUUUGCUUAUUUUGAUUAAAAUUGUGUUCUGUGUACUGUUUUGGCUGAGAUUUAUGCUUUGAGUAGCAAUGACAUCAAGGUGGGAACUAACCUUGAGGUCGAUGGAGCUCCUUGGAAAGUGUUAGCAUCUUUACAGCCUGUUGUUUACCAUCUGUAUGGUACCUGCAAUGAGAAGGAAUGUCAGCUAGUGAAGUGGUCAUUAAAGGAUUCACUCCACAUACACUCUCAAAGGGAGAAUAUGGACUUUCCAGGUUUAAUUCAACAUCUUCAACAUUCAAGGGUUUAAUCAACUCAGGAGCUAAUGCUUUGGUCUCUAAUAACUCCAAGGCUUUGGGAUGAUGUUGGUCCUGAUCCUCACUAAUUUUCUUGGUGAAUUGAAGCACACAUUCUCUCCCAUUCUGUACUCCGUUGUAACAGUCUCUCUUGUUCAGGAUAUAGCUUGCUUUCUUCUGUUUUCAAGGAGUGGAAAUGAUCUUAUAUGGAGGUAGGGGUAUAAGGUCUUUCAGUUUCCCCCUAUGUUUGAUGGUAUAGAUGUUGGUAAACCCGUCAUGUACUGAAUGUUUGUCAUGCUGCCACGGUCUUCGCAAAAGUAUGUGACACGCAUUCAUAUCUAAGACAUCACAAAGCAUCUCAUCAUUGUAGGAUCCUAUGGAAAAGUUGAGUAAGCAUUGCUUCCUUACAAAGCCCUCGGCCUUACUGUCCAACCAUCGUAACUUAUGUGGAUUAGGGUGGUCUUGAGUGUUCAUUUUCAGGUCCUGCACUAACUGAUGGCUCACACAGUUGGUCUCGCUACCCCCAUCAAUUAUAUGGUCACACACUCUAUCUUGAACCCUGCAUUUGGUCUGGAAUAUUCUUUCCCUUUGAUCAGUUUUCUUUCCCCUUGGUGUGGUAUGGAAGUUUCUUCUUACAAGCAAAUGGUAGCUGCCUUCUUCAGGGUAUAACUGCUCUCUUCCUCUGACUCACUGCCCUCCGUAUUCCUUGGUUCAGUUCUUUGUAGGGUGCCCAGAUUGGUCAGGAUGUAGGAACCUUAUGGUUCAUCUGUGGGUGUGGGUGGGAGUAUAACCUUCUCCUCUCCAUCCCUGGCUACUAACAUAGCUCUGGGUCCCCUCUCCCUACUGUGAAUCUCAGCCCACUCUAUGUUAGUGAAAGCUCUUGUAUUAGGACACUCAUUCCUAUAGUGACCAUGGCCAUGACACUUAAAACACAUGACAUCCUUCAUAGAUACGUUGGGUUUGUCCUUGGUUCUGUUGAGUACUACUGGAUUAGUGUUUUUGUUAGUUGAGCUGGUACCUAUUCCCACAUUUGCUGUAUUACCUACUGUGUUAAGCUUAGGAAGGGUAGACUCAAGUGGCUGGGCAUAGGUAUUCCUUUUCUUAGAGUAUUUUUCAUAAGUGAGUGCACUACUACAGGCUGUGUCAAGAGUCAAAUGCUGCAUCACCUCAAGCUUUUCCCUCAAGUCCUCUCUCAGGUCUCCUAUGAACUUCUCUAUCUUCAUUUCUUCUGGUUCAUUAACAUCACACAGAACAGAUAGUCUUUCCCACUCUUGGAUGUAAUCAGAUACGGUUUUACUUCCUUGUCUAAGUGUGCUCCACUGCACAAAGAGGUGUUGCCUAUAGGAUGAAGGUACAUACUUCUUUCUGAGGUGUUUCUUCAGCUUAGCCCAGGUGUUAAUCCUCUCCCUGUUCUCCCUCCUUCUUUGUUUCUGAACUCCCUCAAGCCAUAUGGCAGCUAGCUUGGUUAAUUUGAUCUUAGCUAGUUUAUACUGUUGUUCUUCAAAGGUUUCUUUGAAUUCAAAGUACCUUACCAGCCCAGCUUCCACUCCAAGUAAUCCUCAGGGUUGUGGGAUGUUCCCCCAAACUCAGAAACAUCUAUCCUAAGUGUUCUGUCCUCUGUGUUUCUUUCGUGAUUGUGUACAGGCGUUCCUCUUUCCUGUUGGUUCACCUUAAGUCUAGCCACAGUGUGUGUAAGUUGUUGAAUGGAAAGAGCCAUUUCAGCAAACCUCUCAUCUGUGUUCAUGUUGUCCUUAAUACAACAAUGCAAGAAUCUUUCAGAAACAAAAACAAACGCACAAAUACAAAACCCUAAUUUUUCAGAAUAAAUUUCUUGAAUCAGAUUAUUAUCAUCAAUUUUCUCAGGGCAAACGUAAUGUCCAAUUGUUCACAAACAAAUUCUAUCAAUUCCAAUCAAAUAUCACAUUCACAAGAAUCAUGGAUUGAAAUACACGAAUCAGAAUUGUAUAUAUCAAUUUUCUCAGCGAAGACGUAUUGUUCGAUUGUUUAAAACACAAAUAUCGUCAAAUUCCUAUCAGGCAAUACAUUCAAGACAUUCAAUAAUUGAGUUUAAUGAAUUAAUUGAUAAAAUUUAAUAUGUAUAAUGACUACAGAAAUGAAUUAUCAGAAAACAAAUUGAUGCACAUUCAUCAAUACGAUAAAUAGAUUUUCAGAAAUUCUUAUCCCACAAUCAAAUUCGUACAAUGACAAGAUAUAAUCUGUAUUCCUUAAUCAUAAACGAGUUAUUAACAAAGAAAGAUUGAAUUCGUACCUGUGUUUGCAAAAUUGAAACAAAAUUGCACAAUACCUUAUUCUCUGAUCACUUUUACCAGAACGUGUGGAUUGAUCUGUUACCUGGCUUUCCUUAUCUCCGUUUGCUCGUGUCCCUUCUUAGAACACAGCUCUGAUACCAAGUUGAUGCGCACAAGUGAUGAUUGAUCCAAGAAUGCACUUAAACCUUCCAAGAUUAAGAUCAAGACUGAUCUUGAUCAGAAAGUCACACAAAAAUGCCUUCUAUUCUGAGUAAACAAAAGGUGGCAAGAACAAUUUUGAUGAAUGGUUCUACGCCUUGGAUACAAACAAAUUGGCUUUUAACAACCAAUUGGCCUCUUCCUCACACUGAGAGUAAGAUUCACUCUCUUAAUCCUCGUGGAAUAAACCGAUUGCACCCUUUGUUUCACUCACAAAGAACCCACCCAGGCAAAGGAAAUUGCAAGGCAAUUUACUUGAAGGAAUUUUAUUGAACAAUCUGAAUUCUUGAUACAAAUGUGGGUGUCCCUUUAUAUAGGACUCUAACGGCUAGUUUAGGUGCCUAACAACCAUAACUACCUCCAUGCCAAAUUAUUAAAGCGCGUGCAAUACAUGGGAAUUAAAACAGAAAUGCAAAAUAGCCUUAUUACAAUUGAACUCAGCCUUUAUCAGAAAACUGGUGAGCACAUGACCUUGCAGCUGUUCUCGUGGGUUCUGUGAGGGUUAUCAGCAUCGUCCUUGGGUCUGGGCUUCUUGGUCCAUGUAUAAAGAUGCCUUCCUCUGAAUUUCCACGUUCAUUCA